GGUACUGGAAGGUCCUCAGGCCGAAAGGGGCUCUGCCCGCCCGAGGAUGGGCCGGCGGCCGAUUAGGUAGUUGGUGGGGUAACGGCCCACCAAGCCGAAGAUCGGUACGGGCCAUGAGAGUGGGAGCCCGGAGAUGGACACUGAGACACGGGUCCAGGCCCUACGGGGCGCAGCAGGCGCGAAACCUCCGCAAUGCGGGCAACCGCGACGGGGGGACCCCCAGUGCCGUGGCAACGCCACGGCUUUUCCGGAGUGUAAAAAGCUCCGGGAAUAAGGGCUGGGCAAGGCCGGUGGCAGCCGCCGCGGUAAUACCGGCGGCCCGAGUGGUGGCCGCUAUUAUUGGGCCUAAAGCGUCCGUAGCCGGGCCCGUAAGUCCCUGGCGAAAUCCCACGGCUCAACCGUGGGGCUUGCUGGGGAUACUGCGGGCCUUGGGACCGGGAGAGGCCGGGGGUACCCCUGGGGUAGGGGUGAAAUCCUAUAAUCCCAGGGGGACCGCCAGUGGCGAAGGCGCCCGGCUGGAACGGGUCCGACGGUGAGGGACGAAGGCCAGGGGAGCGAACCGGAUUAGAUACCCGGGUAGUCCUGGCUGUAAAGGAUGCGGGCUAGGUGUCGGGCGAGCUUCGAGCUCGCCCGGUGCCGAAGGGAAGCC
rnacentral:rRNA from 1 species